UAGGGAAUUUUCGGCAAUGGGGGAAACCCUGACCGAGCAACGCCGCGUGAAUGACGAAGUACUUCGGUAUGUAAAGUUCUUUUAUCAGGGAAGAAUGGCUUACGGAAAAGUAAGAUUGACGGUACUUGAUGAAUAAGCCCCGGCUAACUAUGUGCCAGCAGCCGCGGUAAUACAUAGGGGGCAAGCGUUAUCCGGAAUUAUUGGGCGUAAAGGGUGCGUAGGUGGUUGAGGAAGUCUUUGGUGUAAGUGCAGUGCUUAACGCUGUGAUGCUAAGGAAACUGAUCGACUUGAGUGUGGUAGAGGCAAGUGGAAUUCCAUGUGUAGCGGUAAAAUGCGUAAAUAUAUGGAGGAACACCGGUGGCGAAGGCGGCUUGCUGGGCCAUAACUGACACUGAGGCAC
rnacentral:rRNA from 1 species